AAGACGAGGAUAACAAUUGGAAACAGUUGCUAAGACUGGUACACGUAAGUAACCUGCCUUUAAGACGAGGAUAACAAUUGGAAACAGUUGCUAAGACUGGAUAGGAAAUUAGAAGGCAUCUUUUAAUUUUUAAAAGACCUUUUUCGAAAGGUAUACUUAAAGAGGGGCUUGCGGCACAUUAGUUAGUUGGUAGGGUAAAAAGCCCUACCAAAGAACUAUGAUGUGUAGCUGGACUGGAGAGGUUGAACAGCCCACAUUGGGGACUGAGACACGGCCCAAAACUCCUACGGGAGGCAGCAGUAGGGAAUUUUCGGCAAUGGAGGAAACUCUGACCGAGCAACGCCGCGUGAACGAUGAAGUAUUUCGGUAUGUAAAGUUCUUUUAUUGAAGAAGAAAAAAUAGUGGAAAAACUAUCUUGACGAUAUUCAAUGAAUAAGCCCCGGCAAACUAUGUGCCAGCAGCCGCGGUAAUACAUAGGGGGCGAGCGUUAUCCGGAAUUAUUGGGCGUAAAGGGUGCGUAGGCGGUUUGGUAAGUCUAUAGUUUAAUUUCAGUGCUUAACACUGUUCUGCUAUAGAAACUAUCAGACUAGAGUGAGAUAGAGGCAAGUGGAAUUCCAUGUGUAGCGGUAAAAUGCGUAAAUAUAUGGAGGAACACCAGAGGCGUAGGCGGCUUGCUGGGUCUUUACUGACGCUGAGGCACGAAAGCGUGGGGAGCAAACAGGAUUAGAUACCCUGGUAGUCCACGCCGUAAACGAUGAGUACUAAGUGUCGGGGAAACUCGGUACUGAAGUUAACACAUUAAGUACUCCGCCUGAGUAGUACGUACGCAAGUAUGAAACUUAAAGGAAUUGACGGGACUCCGCACAAGCGGUGGAUCAUGUUGUUUAAUUCGAAGAUACACGAAAAACCUUACCAGGUCUUGACAUACUCUGCAAAGCUAUAGCAAUAUAGUGGAGGUUAUCAGGGAUACAGGUGGUGCAUGGUUGUCGUCAGCUCGUGUCGUGAGAUGUUAGGUUAAGUCCUAAAACGAGCGCAACCCUUGUCACUAGUUGCCAGCAUGUUAUGAUGGGCACUUUAGUGAGACUGCCAAUGAAAAAUUGGAGGAAGGUGAGGAUCACGUCAAAUCAUCAUGCCCCUUAUGAUCUGGGCUACAAACGUGAUACAAUGGCUGUUACAAAAGAGUAGCUUAAAACGCGAGUUUAUAGCCAAUCUCACAAAAGCAGUGUCAGUUCGGAUUGAAGUCUGCAACUCGACUUCAUGAAGUAGGAAUCGCUAGUAAUCGCGAAUCAGCAUGUCGCGGUGAAUACGUUCUCGGGGUUUGUACACACCGCCCGUCAAACCACGAAAG
rnacentral:rRNA from 1 species